AGAGUUUGAUCAUGGCUCAGGAUGAACGCUAGCGGCACGCUUCAUACAUGCAAGUCGAGGGGCAGCAUAAAUUACUUGUAAUUUGAUGGCGACCGGCGAACGGGUGCGUAACGCGUAUGCAACUUACCUUUUACUAGAGAAUAGCCAAGAGAAAUUUUGAUUAAUGCUCUAUACUCUUAUUAACUCACAUGAGUUUUUAAGAAAAGCUCCGGCGGUAAAAGAUGGGCAUGCGUCCUAUUAGCUUGUAGGUGAGGUAACGGCUCACCUAAGCUCCGAUAGGUAGGGGUCCUGAGAGGGAGAUCCCCCACACUGGUACUGAGACACGGACCAGACUUCUACGGAAGGCAGCAGUAAGGAAUAUUGGACAAUGGAGGAAACUCUGAUCCAGCGAUGCCGCGUGAAGGAAGACGGCCCUAUGGGUUGUAAACUUCUUUUAUACAGGAAUAAACCUAUCCACGUGUGGAUAGCUGAAGGUACUGUAAGAAUAAAGGA
rnacentral:rRNA from 1 species